AGUUCUUCAGUGGCAAGG
rnacentral:miRNA from 1 species